CUUUGCACACUUCGAGACUUUGGCUGAGAUACAGAAUAGAAGGAGCCAGAAUUUGUUCUGCUAAAUGACAGCUGCUUGAUUCGAGGACUUCUUCUCAAAAUCAUCUCUGAAAAACCGGAAGCAGAGCUGGAGACUCUUCAACUACAUGAAUAUCAGGACCAGGAUCAGAAGACCUUAAAGAGCAACCAGCACAGAGUCAAUGCACUCAUGACUG
rnacentral:lncRNA from 1 species